AUUGAACGCUGGCGGAAUGCUUUACACAUGCAAGUCGAACGGCAGCACGGACUUCGGUCUGGUGGCGAGUGGCGAACGGGUGAGUAAUGUAUCGGAACGUGCCCAGUCGUGGGGGAUAACGUAGUGAAAAUUACGCUAAUACCGCAUACGAUCUACGGAUGAAAGCGGGGGAUCGCAAGACCUCGCGCGGUUGGAGCGGCCGAUAUCAGAUUAGGUAGUUGGUGGGGUAAAGGCCCACCAAGCCAACGAUCUGCAGCUGGUCUGAGAGGACGACCAGCCACACUGGACCUGGAACACGGUCCAGACUCCUACGGGAGGCAGCAGUGGGGAAUUUUGGACAAUGGGCGAAAGCCUGAUCCAGCCAUUCCGCGUGCAGGAUGAAGGCCCUCGGGUUGUAAACUGCUUUUGUACAGAACGAAAAGGUUUCUACUAAUACUAGGAGCUCAUGACGGUACUGUAAGAAUAAGCACCGGCUAACUACGUGCCAGCCGCCGCCGUAA
rnacentral:rRNA from 1 species